AACGAACGCUGGCGGCAUGCCUAACACAUGCAAGUCGAACGAGACCUUCGGGCUUGGUGGCGCACGGGUGCGUAACGCGUGGGAACCUGCCCUUAGGUUCGGAAUAACUCCCCGAAAGGGGUGCUAAUACCGGAUAAUGUCUUCGGACCAAAGAUUUAUCGCCUUUGGAUGGGCCCGCGUUGGAUUAGCUAGUUGGUAGGGUAAAAGCCUACCAAGGCGACGAUCCAUAGCUGGGCUGAGAGGAUGAUCAGCCACACUGGGACUGAGACACGGCCCAGACUCUUACGGGAGGCAGCAGUGGGGAAUAUUGGACAAUGGGCGAAAGCCUGAGCCAGCAAUGCCGCGUGAGUGAUGAAGGCCCUAGGGUUGUAAAGCUCUUUUACCCGGGAUGAUAAUGACAGUACCGGGAGAAUAAGCUCCGGCUAACUCCGUG
rnacentral:rRNA from 1 species